rnacentral:rRNA from 1 species
CACACGACUCUCGGCAACGGAUAUCUCGGCUCUCGCAUCGAUGAAGAACGUAGCAAAAUGCGAUACCUGGUGUGAAUUGCAGAAUCCCGCGAACCAUCGAGUUUUUGAACGCAAGUUGCGCCCGAGGCCUUCUGGUUGAGGGCACGCCUGCCUGGGCGUCACGCCA